UACGAAGGGUGCAAACGUUGCUCGGAAUCAUUGGGCGUAAAGCGCACGUAGGCGGCCUCAAAAGUCGGAUGUGAAAUCCCUCGGCUCAACCAAGGAAGUGCAUCUGAUACUGUGAGGCUUGAGUACCAAAGAGGAUCGCGGAAUUCCCGGUGUAGAGGUGAAAUUCGUAGAUAUCGGGAGGAACACCAGUGGCGAAGGCGGCGAUCUGGGUGGAUACUGACGCUGAGGUGCGAAAGCGUGGGGAGCAAACAGG
rnacentral:rRNA from 1 species